UGUUUCAGCACCCUCAGACAACUAUAGAAGUUUUGGAGCAGAUAGACAAGGACAUUUCGCGUCUGCAAAGGAAUCGUAAAGCAAAUCAAGAUAAACAGAAGAAGCUUGUGGCCACUUUCCUGAUUUAUUCUGUGAUCGUCUACAUCCUAGCGGCUGUGAUUUUCUUUUUGCUCUACUUCCCAGAGCAAUGGGCUGCAAGAUUUAUCUACUCCCUCCCUCUUUUGCUGUUUCCUUUCUUGAUUUGGGGAUUGAAAAAACUCUUGCACUGGUACUUUGUAAAAAGAAUCCACUCCAACGGUAUUGUAACAUUUUGCAAGGGAUAGCUUUCUUUUUUUAAUCUGUAUGUCAAUCAUUUGUCAUUAUGAUGUUGUACAGAUUACUUUUAUUUCUGUUGAGUUAUUUAUAAUAAGUAUCACUUUCUGUCCCUCUCCACACCUUACUGUUAAAUCUAGCAAAACACUGAUUACAUCUCAUCCCUGCCUGCACU
rnacentral:sRNA from 1 species